AGACCGAUAGCGAACAAGUAGAGUGAUCGAAAGAUGAAAAGCACUUUGAAAAGAGGGUUAAAUAGCACGUGAAAUUGUUGAAAGGGAAGGAUUUAUGACCAGACUUUUUCUAGGGGGAUCAUCCGGUGUUCUCACCGGUGCACUUCCCCUAGUUGAGGCCAGCAUCGGUUUCUGUCGAGGGAUAAAAGCUUUAGGAAUGUGGCUCCCUCCGGGGAGUGUUAUAGCCUGUUGCAUAAUACCUUGACGGGGACCGAGGUUCGCGCAUUGCAAGGAUGCUGGCGUAAUGGUUAUUAAUCACCCGUCUUGAAACACGGACCAAG
rnacentral:rRNA from 3 species